UACGUAGGGGGCAAGCGUUGUCCGGAUUUAUUGGGCGUAAAGCGCUCGCAGGUGGUCCGUUGCGUCGUGCGUGAAAGACCCCGGCUCAACUGGGGAGUGUCACUCGAUACUGAUCGACUCGAAGGCAGGAGAGGGUAGUGGAAUUCCCGGUGUAGUGGUGAAAUGCGUAGAUAUCGGGAGGAACACCAGUGGCGAAGGCGACUACCUGGCCUGUUCUUGACGCUGAGGCGCGAAAGCUAGGGGAGCAAACGGGG
rnacentral:rRNA from 1 species